UAGGAUGUUACGAUUGUGUGAAUACAUAGCACAUUCGAGGUAGACGCAGAGAACUGAAACAUCUAAGUACCUGCAGGAAGAGAAAGAAAAUUCGAUUCCCUGAGUAGCGGCGAGCGAAACGGGAAAAGCCCAAACCAGCAAGCUUGCUUGUUGGGGUUGUAGGACUCCAAUAUGGUAGUUCUUUCAGAUAGUCGAAUGACUUGGAAAAGUCAGUCAAAGAGGGUAAAAACCCCGUAGACGAAAUGUGGAAGACACCUAGGAGGAUCCUGAGUACGGCGGAACACGAGAAAUUCCGUCGGAAUCCGGGAGGACCAUCUCCCAAGGCUAAAUACUCCCUAGUGACCGAUAGUGAACCAGUACCGUGAGGGAAAGGUGAAAAGCACCCCGGAAGGGGAGUGAAAUAGAACCUGAAACCGUGUGCCUACAACAAGUCAAAGCCCGUUAAUGGGUGAUGGCGUGCCUUUUGUAGAAUGAACCGGCGAGUUACGAUUGCAUGCGAGGUUAAGUUGAAGAGACGGAGCCGCAGCGAAAGCGAGUCUGAAUAGGGCGUUUGAGUAUGUAGUCGUAGACCCGAAACCAUGUGAUCUACCCAUGUCCAGGUUGAAGGUGCGGUAAAACGCACUGGAGGACCGAACCCACGUACGUUGAAAAGUGCGGGGAUGAGGUGUGGGUAGCGGAGAAAUUCCAAACGAACUUGGAGAUAGCUGGUUCUCUCCGAAAUAGCUUUAGGGCUAGCCUCGGAAUUGAGAAUGAUGGAGGUAGAGCACUGUUUGGACUAGGGGCCCAUCUCGGGUUACCGAAUUCAGAUAAACUCCGAAUGCCAUUCAUUCAUAUCCGGGAGUCAGACUGUGAGUGAUAAGAUCCAUAGUCGAAAGGGAAACAGCCCAGACCACCAGCUAAGGUCCCAAAAUAUAUGUUAAGUGGAAAAGGAUGUGGGGUUGCACAGACAACUAGGAUGUUGGCUUAGAAGCAGCCACCAUUUAAAGAGUGCGUAAUAGCUCACUAGUCGAGUGACCCUGCGCCGAAAAUGUACCGGGGCUAAACAUAUUACCGAAGCUGUGGAGUACACCUUUAGGUGUAUUGGUAGGAGAGCGUUCUAAGGGCGUUGAAGGCAGAUCGUGAGGACUGCUGGAGCGCUUAGAAGUGAGAAUGCCGGUAUGAGUAGCGAAAGACAGGUGAGAAUCCUGUCCACCGAAUGACUAAGGUUUCCUGGGGAAGGCUCGUCCGCCCAGGGUUAGUCGGGACCUAAUCCGAGGCCGACAGGCGUAGGCGAUGG
rnacentral:rRNA from 1 species